AUGAUCCGCCUUCUUCCCAACAAGCCGCUUUCCGCUGGUAGCACCAUCACCUCCGACGAUGGCACUUUUGCCCUGGGAUUUUUCUCCCUGUCCAGCUCCAGCACAAAAUAUUACUACGUCGGCAUAUGGUACAGGAACAUACCCGAAGACAACAUUGUGUGGGUUGCCAACCGUGCUAUGCCGAUAACUGAUCCUUCUUCUGCAACACUCGCCUUCACAAGCGGAUCCGAUCUCGCCUUGUCAGACACCAGUGGCCAGCUUCUCUGGACGACAAACAUCAGCGCUGCAAGGAAUUCAUCGUCAGAGGCAACUGGUGGAGAAGCCACGCUUGAUAACAAUGGGAAUUUUAUUCUUCGGUCAUCACAUGGCACCAUCUUAUGGCAAAGCUUCGAUUACCCGACCGACACUCUCCUUCCAGGUAUGAACCUCAGGAUCACCCACAAGACGCAUGCACUACAACAGCUCAUCUCUUGGAGAAACCCCCAAGACCCAUCCCCGGGCAACUUCUCAUAUGGUGCAGACCCUGAUGAGUUUCGGCAGCGUAUUACAUGGAAUGGCUCAGCACCAUACCGGCGAAGUCUGGUAUGGAAUAACAAUUUGGUAGUAGGGAAGUAUGUUGAGAGUAUCAAGUCCACAAUUUACUAUACACUGCAAACUAUUGGUGAUGAGAUCUACGCUUCCUUUGGACUACCAGUACCUAGUGUCUCACUAGUGCUAAUGAAGAUUGACUACUCAGGCAAGAUAAAGACACAAAUCUGGAAUAGCAACAGCUCCAAAUGGACUGACCAGUAUUCAGGACCUAACCAGGAAUGCAACAAAUUUGGUUACUGUGGUCCAUUUGGUUACUGUGACAACACACAGCCUAUUGUGACAUGCAAGUGUCUUGAUGGCUUUGAGCCAAACAACAAACAAGACUGGACGACCCGCAGGUUUUCACAGGGAUGCCACCGGAUGGAAGCACUAAGAUGUGGUCAAGGGGAUGGCUUCUUAAAUAUGUCAACCAUGAAGAUUCCCGACCAGUUCUUGUAUGUCAAGAAUAAAAGCUUAGAUGAAUGCAUAGCAGAAUGCACAAGCAACUGCUCGUGUACGGCAUAUACUUACACCACUAUGAGAACUAAUGCUAUCGAUGAGGAUGAUACUAGGUGCCUAUUAUGGAUAGGAGAUUUGAUUGACACGGAGAAGUUCAUUGGACAAGGGGAAAACCUCUAUAUCCGAGUUAGUGGAUUGAAUGUAGCUCAUUUGGCAAACCAGCUGAUACAGCUUUUUCAGAUUUUGGCCCGCAGCGGAAUCAAAUUUUGGAAAGCACGUCCUGAGCGCAAACAAAGAAACAAGAAAAUUUGGAAGAAGCUGAUGUCAGUAACUUCAAGCACUUCUACUGAACUUCGUGAUGGAAACUUAAAGUAUCCUUUUAUUAACUUCAAAGAAAUUGUACUUGCAACAAACAAUUUCUCUAACUCCAACAUGCUUGGACAUGGAGGUUUUGGCAAUGUUUACAAGGCGACAUUAGAAGAUGGUACAGAAUUUGCUGUGAAAAGGCUUAGUAAGGGUUCUGGACAGGGGGAACUGGAGUUCAGAAAUGAAGUAAUACUCAUUGCGAAGUUGCAGCACAAAAACUUGGUUAGACUUCUCGGUUUCUGCAUCCACGGAGAUGAGAAACUAUUGAUAUAUGAAUACUUACCUAACAAAAGUCUGGACGCCAUGCUUUUUGAUGCCACAAGAAAAUCAAUGCUUGAUUGGCCAAUAAGAUUCGAGAUAACCAAAGGGGUAGCUAGAGGACUUCUUUAUCUUCAUCAAGAUUCAAGAUUGAAGAUAAUUCACAGGGAUCUCAAAGCAAGCAACAUAUUAUUAGAUGCCGAAAUGAGCCCUAAGAUAUCUGACUUUGGUAUGGCAAGGAUAUUUGGCGGCAAUCAGCAGCAAGAAAAUACCAACCGCGUAGUUGGCACAUAUGGUUACAUGCCGCCUGAAUAUGUUUUGAAAGGAGUGUUUUCUGUCAAGUCUGACGUAUAUAGCUUUGGAGUUUUACUACUGGAGAUUGUGAGUGGCUCAAAGAUCAGCUCGGUGCACCUAAAAGCAGACUUCUCCAGCAUUAUAGCCUAUGCAUGGAGCUUAUGGAAGAAUGGGAACACAAAGGAUUUUGUUGACUCGUCAAUUGUGGACAGCUGUUCACUUAAUGAAACUAUACGGUGCGUCCAUAUCGGUCUCUUGUGUGUUCAAGGCAGCCCAAAUGCGCGGCCUCUCGUGUCGUCAAUCAUGUCCUUUCUGGAGAAUGGAGAUAUAUCACUUCCACCUCCAAAAGAGCCUAUGUAUUUUGCAGAAGAUAACCAUGGUGCUGAUGGAGCAGCAGAAAAUACUGUGAAUUCUAGAAAUAACAUGAGCAUUACAGCACUAGAGGGACGCUAG
rnacentral:rRNA from 1 species